rnacentral:rRNA from 1 species
UACGAAGGGUGCAAACGUUGCUCGGAAUCAUUGGGCGUAAAGCGCACGUAGGCGGCCUCAAAAGUCGGAUGUGAAAUCCCGUGGCUCAACCAUGGACGUGCAUUCGAAACUGCGAGGCUUGAGUAUGGAAGAGGGCCGCGGAAUUCCCGGUGUAGAGGUGAAAUUCGUAGAUAUCGGGAGGAACACCAGUGGCGAAGGCGGCGACCUGGGCCAAUACUGACGCUGAGGUGCGAAAGCGUGGGGAGCAAACAGG